rnacentral:rRNA from 1 species
UGAGGAAUAUUGGACAAUGGGCGGGAGCCUGAUCCAGCCAUGCCGCGUGCGGGAAGACUGCCCUAUGGGUUGUAAACUGCUUUUUUACGGGAAGAAACACCCCCACGUGUGGGGGCUUGACGGUACCGUACGAAUAAGGACCGGCUAACUCCGUGCCAGCAGCCGCGGUAAUACGGAGGGUCCGAGCGUUAUCCGGAAUCAUUGGGUUUAAAGGGUCCGUAGGCGGGCGUCUAAGUCAGUGGUGAAAUCCCGCAGCUCAACUGUGGAAUUGCCAUUGAUACUGGUCGCCUUGAAUUAGUGUGAAGUGGCUAGAAUAUGUAGUGUAGCGGUGAAAUGCUUAGAUAUUACAUAGAAUACCGAUUGCGAAGGCAGGUCACUAACACUAUAUUGACGCUGAUGGACGAAAGCGUGGGGAGCGAACAGGAUUAGAUACCCUGGUAGUCCACGCCGUAAACGAUGGAUACUAGCUGUCCGGCCUGCAUUGGUAGGCUGGGUGGCCAAGCGAAAGUGAUAAGUACCCCACCUGGGGAGUACGUUCGCAAGAAUG